UGGAGAUAUUCUAAUACCUCAACAGUUUGUUCGGGGGCUGUCUUCAAGUGGAGUUUGUGCUAAAAUGUCAAGGUUGAACCAUUACAUCUGUUCUGAAGUAUGGUGCUAAACUGAAUGCAGUUCCUCCUGAUUGGAUCGGACCAAGACUCUGCAAAACUGAAGCAUCACUUCCUUUCUUUGGAAUUCCAAACUCUCUUGUGGUAAUGUUCUACUAGCCUUGAUGAUUACUAUUUGUGCUGGAUACAGCCAUCUUACUGCCCAUCGUUAAUUACCCUUGAACCUAAUGGCUUACUGGGUCAGUUAAGAGACAACCAGACGGCUACAACUGCAGUCACACAGAGACCAGACUGGAACCAAGAUGGUGCCAGAGAACACUCAGACUGUGAGCAAAACAAAACCUCACCUUCGGCAGCCCAAUGUUCGACAUUGC